AUUGAACGCUGGUGGCAGGCCUACCACAUGCAAGUCGAGCGGGGUUUUCGGACCUAGCGGCGGACGGGUGAGUAAUGCGUAGGAAGCUACCCGAUAGAGGGGGAUACCAGUUGGAAACGACUGUUAAUACCGCAUAAUGUCUACGGACCAAAGUGUGGGACCUUCGGGCCACAUGCUAUCGGAUGCGCCUACGUGGGAUUAGCUAGUUGGUGAGGUAAUGGCUCACCAAGGCGACGAUCCCUAGCUGGUUUGAGAGGAUGAUCAGCCACACUGGAACUGAGACACGGUCCAGACUCCUACGGGAGGCAGCAGUGGGGAAUAUUGGACAAUGGGCGCAAGCCUGAUCCAGCCAUGCCGCGUGUGUGAAGAAGGCCUUCGGGUUGUAAAGCACUUUCAGUUGGGAGGAAGGGCAGCUAGUUAAUACCUGGUUGUUUUGACGUUACCAACAGAAUAAGCACCGGCUAACUCUGUGCCAGCAGCCGCAGUAAGAC
rnacentral:rRNA from 1 species